AACGAACGCUGGCGGCAGGCCUAACACAUGCAAGUCGAGCGCACCUUCGGGUGAGCGGCGGACGGGUUAGUAACGCGUGGGAACGUGCCCUUCUCUACGGAAUAGCCUCGGGAAACUGAGAGUAAUACCGUAUACGCCCUUCGGGGGAAAGAUUUAUCGGAGAAGGAUCGGCCCGCGUUAGAUUAGGUAGUUGGUGGGGUAAUGGCCUACCAAGCCUACGAUCUAUAGCUGGUUUAAGAGGAUGAUCAGCAACACUGGGACUGAGACACGGCCCAGACUCCUACGGGAGGCAGCAGUGGGGAAUCUUGGACAAUGGGCGCAAGCCUGAUCCAGCCAUGCCGCGUGAGUGAUGAAGGCCUUAGGGUCGUAAAGCUCUUUCGCCAGGGAUGAUAAUGACAGUAC
rnacentral:rRNA from 1 species